AUUAUGAUGUGUCAGUGAAAGUAAAGUUUCUUUAAAAAAAAAAAAGCAAUUAGUUUUAAGGAAAAUAUUGUACAUCUUAAUUAUAUGUCCUGUGAUCCAUGUUUUGUUUCUCUUUGGUGAAGAAUGACUAAUAGAUAAAAAUCAAACUUUGAUAUAAGGCUUUCUUCUUAGAGCAUUUCUCAGCCCAAGAAGAAAGCAGUUGUUACAGAUCAAUUGCUUUUCUUUUUUUAAGAUUAGCAAUGAAAGUUAAAAAGGAGAAAGCCAUUAUCGUUAGUGUGAUACUAUAAUCCAUUGGCUAUUGCCUCUUAGGGGAAUGUAAUUUCUUAAAGAGGCACUGGGGACCUGUCUUAGCUGAUUUUCUAAUGUUUCAUUUUUUUUACUUUUGUUACUUUGUUUUUACAGUAAGUGCUUAAUUAUCUUUGGACAGUUAAUUUAUUUCCAUUAGCUCAUUCAGGAUAGGGACAGGGUAGCUUUAUAAAUUAUUGGAUAAGAAAUUUGUGGUUAUUUCAUAUUUUGGCCCAUUCAGGACAAAAUCAUAAUCUGAGUCCUCAGCCAAUUCUCACUGAUGUAGGGUAUAAAGAGGAGAACUACAUGGCCUCACAUAUAAAUACUGAGAUUUAUAGUCCCUCGAAAAAUCUUUUUCUGUUUUCUGUUUUCACCCGCAAUAUGUGCCAUGGGCAUUCCUUCCAUAUUCACAAAUAAACAGGUAGCAUGCAAGCUGGGGUCAGCUUGGCAGAAGAAUUUUUUUUUUUUCCCCUGUUCUAUCUAUCUGUGAAUCUUUAAGUAGAUGAGCAGUGGUUUCUAAAAGCUUUCCCUGCUGUUUUCCUUUUCUAAGGAAUAUUUUCUAAAGAGCGUCUGAUAUGUCAUGAGUUCAGCAGCCCCAUAAUAGAGGAAGUUUGCCAUUGGCUGCAUUUCUCCCAAGAUAGGAGACAAAUCCUUCCGCACAGAUUUAUGUCAGCCUAACAGACAUGCAUUCAUCUCUGACUUAUUGUCAUUUUCUAAUUUUCUCGGGCUAAGCUGCAAAACCCAGUUUCACCCAUAAAGAUGCACAGAAAUCACUGCCCUGUAGAACCUGUCUGAGGAAUGUGUGCUCAUUUCUGAAUGUAACCCUGGCUGCCAAAUGUUGAGGGCAAGGCCUCUGCCACCCCCGAGGCAGGGCAGGUUUCCAAUUAGGCUAGUACUGUGCAGAGGGUGGAGAAUAAAGGUGUUUAACCCUUUCUUGCUUAUCAAGACUUCUCUGUACUUUUAGUAGAACAUUUCCAAAGUGGAAUAUGGGCUUCUACCUUCACAGCACUAUUUCUGUCUCCUCAUCACAGAGGCCAUUGGUCUAGGGGCAAUGAAAGCUGUUCAUGGUACUUGCCAGUGUGAGACCCAGGAACAGCUCAGGACUUCAACGGGAUGUACACAUGCUCACCAAGGAGCCUGAUAGCUCUGUCUGAAGCCAGGUCAGAGCUGCCCGUACAAAUGGUAUGCCCUGCAUAAGGGGCACCUUUUCCAGUCAGCACAAAGAUAUCAUCUGCUCCCCAAACUGUAAGUCCUUGAGGCAGUGAAUGCCAGCCAAAAAGGACAUUUUUUUUCUGAAUUUUUAUGAAACUGUCAUAUGGGCUAGCAGAGGGGGUGUGACCUGGCUAAGGGGAUGGUUCAGCUUAGGUUGACAGAAACAGAAAGUCCAGGAGCCAAGCUAGAAAUUCAGACAGCAGGUUGCCAAGGCUAAGAAGGGUGUUUAAAAGAAAGCAAAGCCAGUUAGCCCCCAUCUGAAGAGCUAUUCUGACUCUGUUCUCAACUUGAGAAAACAGGCCAGGCACACUUCUGAAGCCAGUGACUCAUGAGCAGCAUUUGAUUUAUGCUUACUUCCCCAGCUCCUGGGUGGGUGGAAGGGACAGAUAGGGUAAGGCAGAGCUAUGUUCUGGGCAGGGAAGUAGGUGUGGGGUAGAGCGUGGACUGGCCACCUCCAUAGGGCCCAUUCUCCGUAACCUGAGUCUGUAUCCUCAUCUUCCUCCUGAGCCCAGACCCUUGUGCCUGGCUGGCUGUUUUGGCAUCUUGAACUGCAUGUUCCUGUACCCCGCAAAUUUAGUCUAGAACUUUACCCUCUUCUCCCAGCAACUCCUCAUUCCGGCCAGAAACCUGGGAAUCCCCCAGUCUUGUUCUUCUCUCUUAAACUCACAUUUAUUGUCACCACAUCCUCUCUAGUCUGCGUUUCUAAUGAGAUGUUAACUCAUCCCCUUUGCACCCCUAAUAAUGCCCCUGCUCUGGGUCAGCUAUCUCUUACCUGAAAUGCAGCCUAUUCACCAGUCCUUUGCAUCCAGUAUCCCUCAUCCAUCAUCCAAAAUGCAAACAGAAUGAUCUUUUAAGAAGUUACAUGUGAUCCUGUCUCUGUUCUAUGGGAAAAUCCUGCAGUCUUCAUUUUUUUCAUAGAAAAUCAAAUAUUUGUGCAUGUUAGGCAAAGCUGUUCACAAUUUAGCAGUGUUUACCCGACCCCACCCAUCUCUCCUGUCUUGUCUCCAGCUUUCACUUGAUAUUCCAGCCAUAUCAAGCUACUUUUGGAUUCUUCUCAUACUCUGUAUUUGCACCAUUCACUCCUUGAACCUAGAAUUCGCUUUGUAUCUUGUUCACAUUGAUUCACCUUAGUAGGUUCUGAAGACUCCAUCUGCAGGAAGGGCCACGUUCUUCUAGCAAUUGUCACAUUAAUAUUAUCUAUAUAUUUCUUUGUUUUUCCUUUCACCAACCUUGAAACAAUGUGAAGUCCAGACUGUGUCACUUAUCUCAUUAACCGAAGUGCUAGCACAGUAACUCUACAUUAUAGUUACUCAUCAAAUAUUUAGACUGUGGUAUCUUCUAGUUAUUUCAGUAGGGUCUCUUUUCUACUGUGGGGCAGUAGCAGAAGUUGCUCCUCAGACACAUUUGGACUAAUGUUUUGGCAAAGUUUUAAUACUAGAAAGAAAGGUGGAUAUAUAUUCAUACCACAGAAAGUUACAGGUUAAGAAUUGAAGCGUUAUCAGGGGUGAAGACUUUCUAGCUAAGAGAAAUUUCUAGAGGAAUUUUUCUUCCACCCAGUCAGACUUCUGGCCCUGUCCCUUUCUUUUUCCUCUGAGAGCACUGGCGUUUGGGCAUCAUACUGCCCUGCCCAUUGCCACCUUCUUUGUUUUCAACUAUUAUUUCUUUCAGUUCUCGACUUGUGAGAAAUAAGAAAAGUACCUCCAGCAAGGACAACUCUUCACUGCAAGUUUUUCUAAGGGUUUUAAUUGGAAGUUAUAAGAGAUAGUGAGCAAAGGGGCGCCACAUAAUAUCCUCCUAUGUGUAGUUUUUAUUUUUCCCAAAAAGGUGUUGGGGGGCGGUAAGACAGAUAAGCGGCGUGUCUCAUGUGAGGCUCAUCUAUACUUUGGGGGCCAUCUAUAUCCAGUGGAUUUCCUGGCGUCUAAAUAAAGAAGAUAAGGAGGAGCCAAGAAAUAGCUGAGGUCUUUGUACGAGGUGGGGUGGAACGGGGGCUAGAGAUGUGGGAUGAUCCUGUACCUUAGCUGGAGGAGAGGUAGUGAUGGAAAGGGAAGGGAGAGCCCUCGGGGGUGCUGCUGCAGGAGAACUCCAGCAUCUCAUUCCUUCUCUCCUGCCAUUAUUUUUAGCAUACCUACCCCAUGAUUCCCUACUUGGGAUCCGCAGCGGGGAAGUUCAAAGGGUUUUGGCACAACCAGAAGGAUAAGGAGAAGGACAUGUGAAACAUAGCAGCAGCUAUGAGGGAAGCAGCAUUACUCUGGCCGCCAGGCUGUGGUGGUAAUUUCCAGGGACUCUCUGUAUGUAAACAGUGGCCCAGCAGAUAUAAAAUAGAGACUGCUCAUUAUUGUUCUUGAAAAAGUGACAUCCCGGAGAAAAAACACUAGUCUUUAUACUGCGUUUCAUGAUUAACUAUGACGAACUGUUCUAGAAUGUUUAGGUCCUUCCUUUUGUCCCUCUGGAUUUAGAGAGUAUUUGCUGGAGUUAAUGGAUACAGAGCCAUGACUGGGUAAAAUGACAUCUGUUUAGGGAACACAGCCCAGUUGCAGGGUUGAAAACAUGCAGUCACAAGCCACAUGUGGCCACUGCAUUCUUGACGCCCUGACUAGAUUAUCUGCCUAUGAGAUCAUCCCGGCUAGCAACCAAACAUAUCUCUCCUCUGAAUUAUUGAAAAAUAUUUUAGAACAUGAGGUGUCUGAAAAAAUCCAAGGCUUUCAUUUUGAUUUGUUUUAUCACCUUACUGAUUACACACGUUUCCUCUAUGGCCUGAAUGGACAGCAGCAUCAACUGUGGCAAUAAAUCCUUCACGCUGUGGACCUGUGUGGCACACAGGCCUGGGCUGAAGUUACACACCAGAUGGCAACUGAAAAUGAUUUGAUAUCUAUAGUAAGUUGGUAUGUAGAGAAGAUGCAUUUACAAGUGAAACAGGAUGUAUAUUUUGCAGUGAUUUGAGAACAUUGAACAAGUUAGCCGGCAAAUACUAAUGAGUGCCUACUCUAUGUAGAACCUUUUUAGAGUUGCUGUUUUGGUGUCGAGCUGUCUGGAUGUAGGACUUAGAAAUACGACGAACAUAUCACAUCCUAUAACAAGAUUGGAAAAAUAAUGAUUUCUCACUUUUCCAGGUUUCUCCACUGUUAAUUUUCUAUGUUACAGACUUGGAAGAGGGAUUAGGAACAUUUUAGUCAUCAAGGAUGUGUUUUCUGUGGCUUUUUGCAUAGGGCAUGUGUUAUGACCUUAAGUGACCUUGGAAAGACAGGCCCUAAUGGGAUGGCCAUUGAUUCGGCGUUCUAAAUGGAUCUGGUCCCUUAACAUCCUAGCAGGGUCCUAAAGACUUAUCCAGAUAAGUCUCCAUUAGGAUGUACAGAGUACAGAAGUGUCUGUGACUUUCUGGUCAGAAAUGUCAGCGUCCUGAGGUACGUGUUCUUCCAUAAUUAUACAACUGUCCCUGGAGAGUGAAUGGGUUAUGAGUCAGUGAACCUGUGCCAUUGCCAUGACCUGUGUCACCUCUUGGUCCCACCGUCCCCAAGCUGCUGUAACCAAGGAUGACAUUGCCUUCCCCACAGUAGAGACAUAGGAGCCUAAAUUAUUGUUCUAUACUGUGUCCCACUUCCAUGAAGCAAAAAGGAAGUUUGCUCAAAACUUCCUAGAUUUCCCCGCAUUUUAUUGGAGGAAUCCAAGAGACAGUUCUACUGCAAGGAAGAACGCUAUGAAUUGGCCAUUCCUGAAGUACAAUGUCUUGAAAGACUUGACAUGACUUUUAGCUGCUAAAGUACUGUAUCUUGACAGAUUUGAGGAGUCACAUGCAGGCACUUUUCUAUUGCUUUAUUUUGAAAUUAGAUUUCUAUCCUUAUCCUCUAGGAAGACAAGCAGUGAAUGGGCUGCCAGUCACCUGUGGCUGGUGGGGGAGAAGAGAGGCAAUUUGAUUGAAUAAUUCAUACCAACGUGUAAAUUACUGAAAGCCCUUUAACACUCUCAGGGAUAUUUGCAUUUUUAAAAGAUUCUCUCUUAACCAAAAAUAAAUCUGUGGUUGGGAGGAGGGGGUAAUUCUGGCCUUGUAGCACAGGACGAUAAAAGCAAAUCAAGCAAUACACAGGAAGCCGGUUCAGAGAUGGGUGAGGGGGCUGAACUCUAGAGACUUGUACUGUAAAUGGUUCCUGCUUUCCCACAGCCUUUUAACUGAUUCUCUUAAAGCCUUAAAUGUCUUUUUAACGGGUCCCAGGCAGAACUUGAGGCUGGAGAAUGUUCUAUUGCAAGGACGAACAUGGCUGGGAGGAGUAGGAGGUAGAGAGGGCACGAAGAUAGAGCAGGUGGUUCUUCAUAUAUUCUGUAUAUUUUGGUCAUUAUAAUUUGAAAACAUUAGGGUUUAAAAAUGGUUUGUUAUAAAUGUGUCUGUGCAUGGAUUGAUUUGCCUGUACAAAUAUCAGAAGUGUAAAAAUAAUGGCAAACCACAGUGGCGAAAAUAAGUUUUUCUGUUUAUGUCAAGCACUUGGAAAAUAUUCAGCCUCAUUGCUCCCUUGGGCUGGAUUGACACUGCCUAUGAACUUCGUUCAAGAAAAACACAACCGGUUUCACCAUCCAUGUUUAUUAACUCCACAUUCUCAGAGGAAUCUUUAUGUACUCCUUUGAAUAUCAGGGCUAAAUUUGUUUCACUCCAAGUGGAACUGUCUCACUGGAUGUAAUUUUCCAGGAAAUCAGUUUUCUUUUCCUAGACCAGGAGGGCUAUCUGUGAAUAUUCUGCCAUUGCUUUGCCUACUUUUUGUUAAGUCUCCAGACAUUAUUUCAGGAAUAAGGGAAAGGUUUUUUUUGUGUUUUUGUUUUUGUUUUCUUUCUUAUGGAAUAACUUUAGGGUCAGCGUACUUGCUGCGAGUGGUAGUGGUGGGUACUUAAGUCUAUCCUCCACCACCUGUGGCUAAGAUAGAGGGAAUCAAACAGAAUUGUUAGUUGAAUGGGGGUGUUAAUGCCAUAGAAAAAGAAAAUAGGACUGGAGAUUUGAGCUUGAAUUAAGAAUGAGGGAAGAGGAGGCGAGGUAAGACCGAGACCUAGAAUGCAAAGGUAAAAGCUCUAGGUCAGCUCUGGCCAUAGAAGUAUAAAAGUGAGCCAUGUAUGUACCUUUAAAUUUUCUAGCCACU
rnacentral:lncRNA from 1 species